AUUGAACGCUGGCGGCAGGCCUAACACAUGCAAGUCGAGCGGAUGAAGGGAGCUUUCUCCUGGAUUCAGCGUCGGACGGGGGAGUAAUGCCUAGGAAUCUGCCUGGUAGUGGGGGAUAACGUCCGGAAACGGGCGCUAAUACCGCAUACGUCCUGAGGGUGAAAGUGGGGGAUCUUCGGACCUCUCCAUCUCAGAUGAGCCUAGGUCGGAUUAGCUAGUUGGUGGGGUAAAGGCCUACCAAGGCGACGAUCCGUAACUGGUCUGAGAGGAUGAUCAGUCACACUGGAACUGAGACACGGUCCAGACUCCUACGGGAGGCAGCAGUGGGGAAUAUUGGACAAUGGGCGAAAGCCUGAUCCAGCCAUGCCGCGUGUGUGAAGAAGGUCUUCGGAUUGUAAAGCACUUUAAGUUGGGAGGAAGGGCAGUAAGUUAAUACCUUGCUGUUUUGACGUUACCAACAGAAUAAGCACCGGCUAACUUCGUG
rnacentral:rRNA from 1 species